AAAUUGGGAUUGGAGGAGAUUAAAGUUGAGAAAAAUCCACCAAAGUUGGGUUUUUGUCACCAAAAUCAAAGAGAACUUCCUAAAGAUGGACUUUAAGGUCAUUAAAGUUAUGGAAAAUGGGACAAAAUUGGGGUUUUGUCGUUAAAAUUAUGGAUAAUUUUCCAAAGUUGGAUUUUGAGGUCAUCGAAGUCAUGGAGAACCUUCAAAAGUUGGACUUUUGGAUCAUUAAAGUUGAAGGAAAUUCACCAGAGUUGGGUUUUUAUCUCCAAAAUGGAGAAGAAUCUCCCAAAAAUUGACUUUGAGGUCAUUGAAGUUGUGGAAAACUGCCCAAAAUUGGGGUUUUGUCACCAAAAUCAUGGAGAAUUUUCUAAGAAUGGACUUUGAGGAGAUUAAAGUUGAGGAAAAUUCACCAAAGUUGGGUUUUUGUCACCAAAAUCACGGAGAACGUCCCAAAAAUGGACUUUGAGAUCAUGGAGGUCAAGGCCAACGCCCAACUGACCAUUGGUCACUCUGGUGGUCACGGUCAAGGAGAACCCACCAAAGUGACCAUUGGUCAUCAUGAGGUCAAGAAGAACCAAAAGUGGACAUUUGACCAUCAGAGGGUCAACAUCAAGGUCAAGGUCAAACCCCAACUGACCAUUGGUCACUCUCACGGUCGAGAAGAACCAAAAGUGGACAUUUGACCAUUGGAGGGGUCACACUCAAGGUCACGGCCAAACCCCCAACUGACCAUUGGUCACUCUCGUGGUCGAGAAGAACCAAAAGUGGACAUUUGACCAUCAUCGGGUCAAACUCAAGGUCAAGGUCAAACUCCAACUGACCAUUGGUCAUCGUGAGGUCAAGAAGAACCAAAAGUGGCCAUUUGACCAUUGGAGGGGUCAAACUCAAGGUCACGGCCAAACCCCAACUGACCAUUGGUCACUCUCGUGGUCACAGUCAAGAUGAACUCACCAAAGUGACCAUUGGUCAUCGUGGAGGUCAAGAAGAACCAAAAGUGGCCAUUGGUCAUCAAAGCAAAGGAGAAAACCCAAAAGUGACCAUUGGUCACUCUCGUGGUCACGGUGAAACCCCAACUGACCAUUGGUCACUUUGGUGGUCAAGAAGAGCCAAAAGUGGACAUUUGACCAUCGUUGGGUCACGGUCAACACCCAACUGACCAUUGGUCACUCUCGUGGUCAAGAAGAGCCAAAAGUGGACAUUUGACCAUCGUGGGGUCAAACUCAAGGUCAAGGUCAAACCCCCAACUGACCAUUGGUCACUCUCGUGGUCAAGAAGAACCAAAAGUGGCCAUUGGUCACUCUCAAGGUCA